rnacentral:rRNA from 1 species
GAGUUUGAUCUUGGCUCAGGACGAACGCUGGCGGUGUGCUUAAUACAUGCAAGUCGAACGGUCCCUUCGGGGGCAGUGGCGGACGGCUGAGUAACGCGUAGGUAACGUACCUUUUACUGGGGGAUAACAUCGGGAAACCGGUGCUAAUACCGCAUAAGUCACGGGUUGAAAUGCCUUUGAUUAAAGAAUUUCGGUAAAAGAUCGGCCUGCGUCUGAUUAGCUUGUUGGUAGGGUAACGGCCUACCAAGGCGAUGAUCAGUAGUUGGUCUGAGAGGAUGACCAGCCAGAGUGGGACUGAGAACGGCCCACACUUCUACGGAAGGCAGCAGUAGGGAAUUUUGCGCAAUGGGCGAAAGCCUGACGCAGCAACACCGCGUGCGGGAUGAAGGCCUCGGUUGUAAACCGCUGUCGGCAGGAUAAAUUAGACUGUACCUGCGAAGGAAGCACCGGCUAACUACGUAGCCAGCCGCCGCCGUAA